GCCGGGCUAGCUCAAUCGGUAGAGCGUGCGGCUCUUAAAUGCCACGCACCCUCGGGUGCUUGCACUGGUGUUACCGCAAGGCUGCGGGUUCGACCCCCGCGUUCGGCU
rnacentral:tRNA from 1 species